AUGUCUAGGAAUGUGUCGGACAGCUUAGGUAUUGGUGAAUCGGCUGAUGAGUUGUUGCAAACACCACUUAGUAGGCGGGCUAAAGUCUGGAAAUACUAUGACCCAGAUUUGGUAGAGGUGGACAAUGUCCCGAAGGUUGUGUGUAAGUAUUGUUCCAUGAAAUUAGCAUGCAAGUCUGGGACGAGCAGCCUUAGAAACCACAUUGGUGAGUCAUGCCCCAAAAUCGAUGACGAUUUCAGAAAUAGGUUUCUUGCAACAAUUAAGAAAAAACCAUCAGAUGUGGGGUUUGUUUUCGAUCCUCAAAUAAGUCGUCAGCUCAUGAUCAAAUAUUGCAUCCAUGCGAAGGUUGCAUUCAGGAAGUUUGAGGAUCCUUACUUUGAGGAGUGGAUGGACUCGAUGCAGCCCACCUUUAAGGUCAUUCAGCGCCACACUGUUCGCAAUGACUGUGUGGACACAUAUGAGCAAAUGAAGGAUCAGCUGCGCAUUGAGUUCGAGUCUCUUGAUUCCCGUGUUUGUUUGACCUCGGACAUGUGGACCUCUGUACAAGAACUAGGCUAUAUGUGUGUUACCGCUCACUACAUUGAUGGCAAUUUCAACCUGAAGAAGAAGGUCAUAUCCUUUAACAAAGUCAAGUAUCCGCACACAAGUGCAGUCGUUGAAGAGACUUUGUGCAAGUGUUUGAAUGAAUGA
rnacentral:rRNA from 1 species